rnacentral:snRNA from 1 species
CCGGUGCGCCCCCGGCGGCC